GAUGAACGCUGGCGGCGUGCCUAACACAUGCAAGUCGAACGAAGCGUCCCGCCCGAAGAAGAGGAGAGCUUGCUCAAAUCGGACUCAAUUGGGACGACUUAGUGGCGGACGGGUGAGUAACGCGUGGGUAACCUGCCGUGUGCAGGGGGAUAACAGUUAGAAAUGACUGCUAAUACCGCAUAAGCGCACAGUAUCGCAUGAUACAGUGUGAAAAGCCGAGACGGCACACGAUGGACCCGCGUCUGAUUAGCCAGUUGGCAGGGUAACGGCCUACCAAAGCGACGAUCAGUAGCCGGCCUGAGAGGGUGAACGGCCACAUUGGGACUGAGACACGGCCCAAACUCCUACGGGAGGCAGCAGUGGGGGAUAUUGCACAAUGGGGGAAACCCUGAUGCAGCGACGCCGCGUGAGUGAAGAAGUAUUUCGGUAUGUAAAGCUCUAUCAGCAGGGAAGAAAAUGACGGUACCUGACUAAGAAGCUCCGGCUAAAUACGUGCCAGCAGCCGCGGUAAUACGUAUGGAGCAAGCGUUAUCCGGAUUUACUGGGUGUAAAGGGAGCGUAGACGGUGUGCCAAGUCUGAUGUGAAAGGUGUGGGCUCAACCCGCAAACUGCAUUGGAAACUGGUGUACUUGAGUGUCGGAGAGGUAAGUGGAAUUCCUAGUGUAGCGGUGAAAUGCGUAGAUAUUAGGAGGAACACCAGCGGCGAAGGCGGCUUACUGGACGAUAACUGACGUUGAGGCUCGAAAGCGUGGGGAGCAAACA
rnacentral:rRNA from 1 species